UACAGAGGGUGCGAGCGUUGUUCGGAAUUACUGGGCGUAAAGCGCGCGCAGGCGGCCUUUUAAGUCUGCUGGUGAAAUGCCGGGGCUCAACCCCGUGCCCGCCACAGAUACUGGGAGGCUGGAGACGAGUAGAGGCAAGCGGAAUUCCGGGUGUAGCGGUGGAAUGCGUAGAGAUCCGGAAGAACACCGGAGGCGAAGGCGGCUUGCUGGGCUUGGUCUGACGCUGAGGCGCGAAAGCGUGGGGAGCGAACAGG
rnacentral:rRNA from 1 species